UACGGAGGGGACUAGCGUUGUUCGGAAUUACUGGGCGUAAAGCGCACGUAGGCGGAUUUGUAAGUUAGGGGUGAAAUCCCGGGGCUCAACCUCGGAACUGCCUUUGAUACUGCAAAUCUCGAGUCCGGAAGAGGUGAGUGGAAUUCCUAGUGUAGAGGUGAAAUUCGUAGAUAUUCGGAGGAACACCAGAAGCGAAGGCGGCCAACUGGCGCGAUACUGACGCUGAGGCGCGAAAGCGUGGGGAGCAAACAGG
rnacentral:rRNA from 1 species